rnacentral:pre_miRNA from 1 species
AGUGUAAUUGCUGAGUCAUAUGGUAAGUCUAUAUUUAACCUAUUGAGGAAUUGCCAGACUGUUUUCCAAAGUAGCUGAACCAUUUUAUAUUCCCACCGGCAAU